AGUGAACGCUGGCGGCGUGCUUAACACAUGCAAGUCGAACGAGAACGGGCUAUAGCUUGCUAUAGUUGUCAGCUAAGUGGCGCACGGGUGAGUAAUGUAUAGGUAAUAUGCCUCUUACUAAGGGAUAACAAAUGGAAACGUUUGCUAAUACCUUAUACUCCUUAUUAACAGAAGUUAAUAAGGGAAAGAUUUAUUGGUAAGAGAUUAGCCUGUAUUGUAUCAGUUAGUUGGUGGGGUAAUGGCUUACCAAGACUAUGACACAUAACUGGUUUGAGAGGAUGAUAAGUCACACUGGAACUGAGACACGUUCCAGACUCCUACGGGAGGCAGCAGUGGGGAAUAUUGCACAAUGGACGAAAGUCUGAUGCAGCAACGCCGCGUGGAGGAUGACACAUUUCGGUGCGUAAACUCCUUUUAUAUGAGAAGAUAAUGACGGUAUUAUAUGAAUAAGCACCGGCUAACUCCGUGCCAGCCGCCGCAGUAA
rnacentral:rRNA from 1 species